UGGGGAAUAUUGCACAAUGGGCGCAAGCCUGAUGCAGCCAUGCCGCGUGUGUGAAGAAGGCCUUCGGGUUGUAAAGCACUUUCAGCGGGGAGGAAGGCGGUGAGGUUAAUAACCUCAUCGAUUGACGUUACCCGCAGAAGAAGCACCGGCUAACUCCGUGCCAGCAGCCGCGGUAAUACGGAGGGUGCAAGCGUUAAUCGGAAUUACUGGACGUAAAGCGCACGCAGGCGGUCUGUCAAGUCGGAUGUGAAAUCCCCGGGCUCAACCUGGGAACUGCAUUCGAAACUGGCAGGCUAGAGUCUUGUAGAGGGGGGUAGAAUUCCAGGUGUAGCGGUGAAAUGCGUAGAGAUCUGGAGGAAUACCGGUGGCGAAGGCGGCCCCCUGGACAAAGACUGACGCUCAGGUGCGAAAGCGUGGGGAGCAAACAGG
rnacentral:rRNA from 1 species